CCAAAUCAUUCUCCACCAGAAAACGCCGAUCCUCCCUCUCCAGAUUCCUCUCCUCCCUCCACUCCGGCUCUCUGGCGCCAACGCCGGCUCUGUCUCUCUGGACCUAUUCUCGUCGUCCUAAAAACGCUCUCACCUCUCUGCCAGUCCCUCCUUCUCCUCCGGCCGAUCCAGACCCGCCUCCCACCACUCCGGCGUCACCAUCUCUAGCGCCUCCAUCAUCACCCUUUCGGUCUGAAUCUCCGGCCGAACGGCCCCUUCCUCCACCAGAAAUCGUUGCCGCACCUACCGAACCCCUUUGUCGCUCAAGCCCCCAUACCAGUCCGCCUGUCAAACUGAAUGAUUAUGUCUGCUCGCACGUUUGCUCUGACCAAUCCUCUUCCUUAACUCCAGGUCCGACAAAAGAUACUCGCUAUUCAUUGGCGAAUUAUGUUUCUUACCAUCGAUAUAAGCCUGCACAUAGAUGUUUUAUUGCUCAGAUCAGUACUGUUACAGAACCCAGGAAUUACUCGGAAGCUGUUGCUCAUCCUAAGUGGCAAGCGGCCAUGGAUUCUAAAUUAAAGGCUCUUCAGGCCAAUGGCACUUGGUCUCUUACUAAACUCCCUACCGGCAAGACACCAAUUGGAUGCAGAUGGGUAUAUAAAGUUAAACAUCAUUCUGAUGGUUCCAUUGAGAGAUGCAAAGCUCGUCUCGUCGCUAAGGGCUUUACUCAGCUAGAAGGCAUUAAUUAACACGAUACUUUUUCGCCAACAGCUAAAAUCAUCACAGUACGUUGUUUGCUUGCAUUGGCUGCUGCCAAGGGCUGGUCUCUUCACCAAAUGGAUGUCAACGAUGCCUUUCUUCACGGCGAUUUACAGGAAGAGAUUUAUAUGUCUCCGCCGCCAGGGCUUCGGCGACAGGGGGAGGAAGGUUUGGUGUGCCGCCUUCACAAAUCAUUAUACGGUUUGAAACAAGCUUCUCGUCAAUGGUUCGCCAAGUUCUCUGAGGCUAUCCGCUCUGCCGGAUAUGCACAAUCCCGGGUAGAUUACUCUCUUUUUACCAGAAAACAAGGCAUGUCUUUUACUAUCCUCCUGAUAUAUGUUGAUGAUAUAUUGAUUACUGGGAAUGACCCUCAAAGUAUUGCUGCGACUAAACAAUUUCUGCAUAAUCACUUUCAUAUCAAGGAUCUUGGUAAUUUGAAAUACUUUCUUGGCAUUGAGGUUUCCUCUUCUAAAAAUGGGAUUUUUAUUUCCCAACGUAAGUAUGCAUUGGAGAUUAUUGAGGAUGGAUGACUGUUGGGGGCAGCCCCUGUAGACACACCUAUGGAACGAGGAUUAAAGCUUUCUGAAAAGAGUGAUUUGCUCAAGGAUCAAAGUCGCUAUAGGAGGUUGGUUGGCAGGUUAAUUUAUUUGACUGUGUCGAGGCCGGAUAUCACUUAUGUUGUUCAUGUGUUAAGUCGCUUUAUGCAUCAGCCAAGGAAAGCACACAUGGAGGCAGCACUUAGAGUUGUGCGUUACCUCAAGCAUGCACUUGGUCAAGGUCUCUUCUUCUCCUCAGAUAAUGAUUUGAGACUAAGAGCCUUUUGUGAUUCAGAUUAGGCGGGUUGUCCACUCACCAGACGGUCUACUACAGGAUACUGCGUAUUUCUUGGACCUUCAUUAGUUUCUUGGAGAUCAAAGUGCCAAAAGACCGUGUCACUUUCAUCAGCGGAGGCAGAAUAUCGUGCUAUGACUGGAACAUGUUGUGAGCUAACUUGGCUGCGGAAUCUACUUGCAGAUUUGGGUAUAGCACAUCGAGAGCCUGCCUUACUAUAUUGUGACAAUAAAGCAGCGCUACACAUUGCAGCAAAUCCUGUUUUUCAUGAGCGAACCAGACAUAUUGAGAUGGAUUGCCAUUAUAUUAGGGACAAAAUACAAGACGGAUCUGUUGUUACAAGAUUUGUGAGUUCAUCACAUCAGUUGGCAGACAUUUUGACUACUAAAGCUUUGGGAAAGGAAACUUUUCUUCCCUUUUCUUCCUAUGAUUCACAAGUUGGGAGUGCAGGAUAUCCACUCUCCAACUUGAGGGGGAGUAUUAGGAAAUAUACAGCUGUUUAAGGUUUUGUUGGUUAAGGUGUUUAACUGACAACUUUAAGGUUUUGAGUUCAAACCUCACUGACAUAUGUAGGGUGUAUGAGUUAUUA